rnacentral:tRNA from 1 species
UUUAAUAUGGCAGAUUAGUGCAAUGGAUUUAAAUCCCAUAUAUAAAGUUUAUCUUUUAUUAAAA